rnacentral:lncRNA from 1 species
AUGGAUUUAAGGAGAGAGCCUAGUCAUAGUGAAUGGUGGUGUGUUGUGUAUGCUGAGGAACCUUUGAGACCAAUGUUUCAGAAAACAAUUAUUUCUACACUGUCAUGUUUCAAGUACCAAGUAUCGUUCUUGUCAUACAGAUGGUCCAGUGAACAUCUCUGGGGAAUUCCUUACAACCAACCUCUUGUUACAAAAUAUUCCGUUAGGAAUGUUUUGUUUCUCAACUCCCUGAUUUCCCCUUUAGAGAUCGGAAGUGAUAUUGGUGGAAGACAACACUUUGCCGCUUGCAGUUCUCACCUCCACACCAAAGAAGGACUGUUUUUGUCAUUUGCACCAGCUGCGUUCUCCGGGAAAGAUCAAAACGAUGCACUCCAAGGGAAGCAAGAAAAUGAAUUAAAGAAGACUCCAGAGAAUGAGCUGACAACUUACUCCCUGGUCAGUGGCUCUCCAUGCCUACCUGUGGUUUCUUGGACACCCUUGCAGAAGAUGACUUCCUGGGAACUCUUCUGA